UUUCACGCUGGCAUUGGUGAAACGCGGCCAACGCUGCUAAAGAGAAAACUGAAACAGUUUUCGAGAAGAACGGGACGCAACAGAGAAGAGAACUCCCGAGCCGUAUUUCUGGUUCGCGAAGCACCGAGGCGCAGUGGAAUCUGCGCCGCCCAUCACGUGACAUCACCUCUGCUCGGUUCCUGGCACGAACUGUGUUGCGGAAGGCGAACACGAAAGGAAGAGCCGCCGUCUAUUUCGGGAAGCGGACGACGACGAAGAACGCGCACACCGACGGCACGUUGACGCUAAACUAUCUUCAAACAGUGCCGCACGGAAUAUCGAUCGUGAGAACGAAAAACCAGAGAGAUCAGCAUGCAAUGCCGCUUUAUAGAAUUCUUCCAGGAACUAAAGAAAGCAACAAAACAAAAGGAGAACACAGGAAAAUAUUUCACGUUGAUACUCCGCAAAGUGCGAAAACUAAAAGGCGAAAAUGACAUCACAGGACAACCUGUAUCUGUGCCAGUUCGUAGUCCGUAGAGGUCGAGCUAAUCCGAUCCGGAGAGUAGCAGAAUUCGCGAUGUGUCCUGCGCUGCCCAGGGGUUCAGCUGUUUCGACAAUGCUUCGCAGCGGCUCGGUUACCCAUACCAGCGUACUUGGUGUCUUCUCCAUCUGGUACUCUGGGGUUCUGUCGAUCAAGUGUUCUGCACGACCGAGCGUGCUUUUCUGCGAGUUGCGUUCUCACCGCAAUCGAGAUGUUCAACCAUUGCAGUAACGGUGGACCAAGAGCAGCAGAGUUCAAGGACUAUCAAAUGCUGGGUGAAGAGGAGAAGGCUGGAGGUCGGCGAAAGUGAAGGUGAUUCCGUGAGCGGCUCCUGCGGUGUGCGUCUGCUUCGAAGGAGAACUCGCUCAAAUCGGGGAAGAAGCGUCGAUUAAAGGCAGCCGCGACGUCAACGAGUGCUUACGCGAACGAAUGCGUGACCACCCUGUACGCAUUGGAUAUGCCCCUAGACUCUGCGCUAUAUUUAUGCGCUGGACGUCGUAUAUGUACAUAUUUGUCGUGAUUAUUUUGGAUUAUUUUGUACUGCGUUAUUCUUUUUAGCUGGUCUUGUUAUUGUUUGUUUAGUAGCACGACCAUGUUCAUGGAUGGGUUAGCCGGCUAGAACAUUGGCUGACCUGCCAUGUUUUCCGUGUAUAAGAUUACAGAAAAGUUAUUAAAAGGUGCGUGUGGUUGUUGGUGCGUCACUGUCGUUCUUCCAGGCUCAGCCAGAACAGGUUGG